AAUAGAUACCCUGGUAGUCCACGCAGUAAACGAUGGAGACUAGGUGUGGCGGGAGUUGGACCCCUGCCGUGCCGGCGCUAACGCAGUAAGUCUCCCGCCUGGGGAGUACGGCCGCAAGGCUAAAACUCAAAGGAAUUGACGGGGGGCCCGCACAAGCAGCGGAGCGUGUGGUUUUAAUUCGACGCAACGCGCAACACCUUACCAAGGUUUGACAUCCCUGGAACCUGCCUGAAAGGGUGGGGUGCCUUCGGGAGCCAGGAGACAGGUGCUGCAUGGCUGUCGUCAGCUCGUGUCGUGAGAUGUUGGGUUAAGUCCCGCAACGAGCGCAACCCCCGUGGCUAGUUACGAGGUGUGUCUAGCCAGACUGCCGGAACCAAACCGGAGGAAGGUGGGGAUGAUGUCAAGUCAGCAUGGCCCUUACGCCUUGGGCGACACACACGCUACAAUGGCCGGGACAAUGGGCAGCCAAGCGGUAACGCGGAGCCAAUCCCCCAAACCCGGUCUCAGUUCAGAUCGUGGGCUGCAACUCGCCCACGUGAAGGCGGU
rnacentral:rRNA from 1 species